CAGCACUUUAUUUAUUGUACCAUUAUGGAUACUCUCUCUUUGGAAUAAUGGUAUAAUACACAGUAGUGUAGCAUUUUAACCUUUAUUUGUAGGAGUAAAAUAACAUACAACAAGCUGUGCAAGUGCAUCAUUAUUCAAAGAGCCUUCUUCACCUUCUGUGUCAGUCAGCAUUACUUUUAUCUGUCAAUCAAUCGCAUGUUGUUAAAUAAU